GAUGAACGCUGGCGGCGUGCCUAAUACAUGCAAGUCGAGCGAACAGAUGAGGAGCUUGCUCCUCUGACGUUAGCGGCGGACGGGUGAGUAACACGUGGAUAACCUACCUAUAAGACUGGGAUAACUUCGGGAAACCGGAGCUAAUACCGGAGAAUAUAUUGAACCGCAUGGUUCAAUAGUGAAAGACGGUUUUGCUGUCUCUUAUAGAUGGAUCCGCGCCGCAUUAGCUAGUUGGUAAGGUAACGGCUUACCAAGGCAACGAUGCGUAGCCGACCUGAGAGGGUGAUCGGCCACACUGGAACUGAGACACGGUCCAGACUCCUACGGGAGGCAGCAGUAGGGAAUCUUCCGCAAUGGGCGAAGGCCUGACGGAGCGACGCGGCGUGAGUGAUGAAGGUCUUCGGAUCGUGAAACUCUGUUAUGAGGGAAGAACAAAUGUGUAAGUAACUAUGCACGUCUUGACGGUACCUAAUCAGAAAGCCACGGCUAACUACGUG
rnacentral:rRNA from 1 species